UACGUAGGUGGCAAGCGUUGUCCGGAAUUACUGGGCGUAAAGCGCGUGUAGGCGGCAGGCCAAGUCUGCGGUGAAAGCGCCCGGCUCAACUGGGCGAGGUCCGUGGAAACUGGUCAGCUGGAGGACGGUAGAGGCGAGUGGAAUUCCCGGUGUAGUGGUGAAAUGCGUAGAGAUCGGGAGGAACACCUGUGGCGAAGGCGGCUCGCUGGGCCGGUCCUGACGCUGAGACGCGAAGGCGUGGGGAGCGAACGGG
rnacentral:rRNA from 1 species